UACAUGGGGUGCAAACGUUGCUCGGAAUCAUUGGGCGUAAAGCGCGCGUAGGCGGUUACUUAUGUCGGAUGUGAAAGCCCUCGGCUUAACUGAGGAAGUGCAUUCGAAACUGGGUAGCUAGAGUACUAAAGAGGGUCGCGGAAUUCCCGGUGUAGAGGUGAAAUUCGUAGAUAUCGGGAGGAACACCGGUGGCGAAGGCGGCGACCUGGGUAGAUACUGACGCUGAGGCGCGAAAGCGUGGGUAGCAAACAGG
rnacentral:rRNA from 1 species